CACGUAGGGUGCGAGCGUUGUCCGGAAUUAUUGGGCGUAAAGAGCUCGUAGGCGGUGUGUCGCGUCGGCCGUGAAAACCUGCAGCUUAACUGUGGGCUUGCGGUCGAUACGGGCAUCACUGGAGUUCGGCAGGGAGACUGGAAUCCUGGUGUAGCGGUGAAUGCGCAGAUAUCAGGAGGAACACCGGUGGCGAAGGCGGUCUCUGGCCGAUACUGACGCUGAGGGAGCGAAAGCGUGGGAGCGAACAGG
rnacentral:rRNA from 1 species